rnacentral:rRNA from 1 species
GACGAACGCUGGCGGCGUGCUUAACACAUGCAAGUCGAACGGAAAGGCCCUGCUUGCAGGGUACUCGAGUGGCGAACGGGUGAGUAACACGUAGGUGAUCUGCCCUGCACUUCGGGAUAAGCCUGGGAAACUGGGUCUAAUACCGGAUAGGAGCCAUUUUUAGUGUGAUGGUUGGAAAGUUUUUUCGGUGUAGGAUGAGCUCGCGGCCUAUCAGCUUGUUGGUGGGGUAAUGGCCUACCAAGGCGGCGACGGGUAGCCGGCCUGAGAAGGUGGACGGCCACAUUGGACUGAGAUACGGCCCAGACUCCUACGGGAGGCAGCAGUGGGGAAUAUUGCACAAUGGGCGCAAGCCUGAUGCAGCGACGCCGCGUGGGGGAUGACGGCCUUCGGGUUGUAAACUCCUUUCGCUAGGGACGAAGCUUUUUGUGACGGUACCUAGAUAAGAAGCACCGGCUAACUACGUG